rnacentral:rRNA from 1 species
UACGUAGGGUGCAAGCGUUAAUCGGAAUUACUGGGCGUAAAGCGUGCGCAGGCGGCUAUGCAAGACAGACGUGAAAUCCCCGGGCUCAACCUGGGAACUGCAUUUGUGACUGCAUGGCUAGAGUGCGGCAGAGGGGGAUGGAAUUCCGCGUGUAGCAGUGAAAUGCGUAGAUAUGCGGAGGAACACCGAUGGCGAAGGCAAUCCCCUGGGCCUGCACUGACGCUCAUGCACGAAAGCGUGGGGAGCAAACAGG